AUGCUUACAAAGGAGUUUAAUAUAACAUUGUUAGGGAAAUGGUGUUGGAGGAUGUUAGUUGAUAGGGAUGGGUUCUGGGUUAAGGUGUUGGAAGCUCGGUAUAGGAUGGAAGUGGGGAGGGUUAAAGAAGGAGGAAGACCUUGUUCUAAUUCGUGGCGAAAUGUGUGUCGGAUUCAGGAUAGUGGGGGUCUAGAUGUGAGAAGAGAAGUGCCUUUAUGUGAGAGGUUCAACCGUCUUUAUCAGUUGUCGGAGCUUAAAGGGGAGUCGGUAGUGAAUAUGUUUAUACUAGGUUGGGGGGAAGGAGGAGGGGCGUGUAGGUGGAGGAGGAGACUGUUAGCCUAG